CACUUUUCUGCCUUUGCCUGUUACCCUGUCACACAUUUUGCUUCGAUGCUGAGCCCAGGCAGGUCUGCCACUUGGAGCACUCGCUGGAUGCACAGCUCCCCACCUGAGGACAAAGUGGGACUGCUGGAGACAAUCAUUGGAUUCUCAGCAGUUUCACUGGCACUUCUUGGACCACCUGGAUGGUUCCUGUGCCGCCUUUCAGGCUACAAGAAGAAAUAGAGAACAACUCUUCAAAAUUAAGAUCUAAAGGCUGCAAUAAACUCUAAUACUCCAAAAUUGGACUCUCUUGA
rnacentral:lncRNA from 1 species